GACGAACGCUGGCGGCGUGCUUAACACAUGCAAGUCGAACGGUGAAGCUCCAGCUUGCUGGAGUGGAUCAGUGGCGAACGGGUCAGUAACACGUGAGCAACCUGCCCCUGACUCUGGAAUAAGCGCUGGAAACGGCGUCUAAUACUGGAUACGAGAAGGGUCCGCAUGGGCACUUUCUGGAAAGUUUUUCGGUUGGGGAUGGGCUCGCGGCCUAUCAGCUUGUUGGUGAGGUAAUGGCUCACCAAGGCGACGACGGGUAGCCGGCCUGAGAGGGCGACCGGCCACACUGGGACUGAGACACGGCCCAGACUCCUACGGGAGGCAGCAGUGGGGAAUAUUGCACAAUGGGCGAAAGCCUGAUGCAGCGACGCCGCGUGAGGGAUGACGGCCUUCGGGUUGUAAACCUCUUUCAGCAGGGAAGAAGCGAAAGUGACGGUACCUGCAGAAGAAGCACCGGCUAACUACGUG
rnacentral:rRNA from 1 species